AGGAUGAACGCUGGCGGCGUGCCUAAUACAUGCAAGUCGAGCGGUAAGGCCACUUCGGUGGUACACGAGCGGCGGACGGCUGAGUAACACGUAGGAACGUACCCCAAACUGAGGCAUAAGCACCAGAAAUGGUGUCUAAUACCGCAUGUGCUCUUCGGAGUAAAGCUUCGGCGGUUUGGGAACGGCCUGCGCAUGAUUAGCUUGUUGGUGAGGUAAUAGCUCACCAAGGCGACGAUCAUUAGCUGGUCUGAGAGGAUGAUCAGCCAGACUGGGACUGAGAACGGCCCAGACUCCUACGGGAGGCAGCAGUAGGGAAUUUUCCACAAUGGGCGAAAGCCUGAUGGAGCAACGCCGCGUGCAGGAUGAAUGCCUUCGGGUUGUAAACUGCUUUUAUCUGUGAAGAUUAUGACGGUAGCAGAUGAAUAAGGAUCGGCUAACUCCGUGCCAGCAGCCGC
rnacentral:rRNA from 1 species